CAAAUCGUGAGUAAACGAAAUACUAUUUUGAAAAAUCGAAAAAUGUAUUAAAGCCUUUGGAAGUGAUUAGUAUUUCAAAAAAACUAAAAAAUGUAUUAAGGUUUUGUGUUUAUUGCAAAUAUCAGGAACAUUUGAAAACUUUUGAACAAUUCCUUGCUUAAAAACUAAAAAAUGACUAAAAAGACAGAAAUUCCUUGCUUAAAAUCUGAAAAACUUGCAGUAGUAUUAGUAAAAUCACCCUAUUCCAGAUGAAAUAAUUGAUUUUAAUUCAAAACGAUUCCAUGCUUAAAAAGUAAAACGAAAAAGAAACUUUAAAAAUGUAAAAAGAAGAGGAGUCAAAGUUAAAGAUGUUUUUGGAUUUUAGAAUGUAUAAUCAGCAGUUAUAAAAAGAUGGUAUUUUCAAACUAGUGAUUGAUUUUGGCGAGCGUUUGUUUCCGAUUUGUUUUUUCAAUCAUUUACAUAUUUUUUCCAUAUAAUCUAUGUGCAAAUACAUUUAUGCAAAAAUGAAUAUUCAGGUGAAUACGCAAUAGAUGUAAAGAUAGACAUAAUAGUACGGUUACGGUUGGCUAAAAUACAAAAAUGUAUUCUAAUAGCCGUAUCUAGAAUAAAUAUUUAUUUUCAUUAAAAAUUAAAAUCAAGUUCAUUGUUUUCCCAAUAUUAUAUUAACAAAUCCUCCUGGUAGCACAUUUAUCACGAUCUCAAAGAAAUCAACAUUCUUACAUUUUCGUGCAAACAGGACAAGCAUUUCACUUGCAUAAAGGUCAAAAUGGACUAAAUUUAGAUGUCACAAAAAUGUGAAGUGUUGUUUGAUAACCACUUCAACUUUAAAAGAUUUAAUCACUCAGUCACAAUAAAUUUCGUAAGAUUAUGUGUUGGUUUUUUUCUGUGGUAUCAGGCCUCUUAUAAUUAAAUCUUGCCCGAGACGGCGCAUGUAUAAUUAGAUUGUCUUCCAAUAACAGAACCAUAGCGGAAAAAUUCAUCACACCAGACACGCACGUAUAAUAAAAACAAAAUUGUGUGGUAGUCUGGGCCGGUUGAUUGAAUUUCUUUUGCUCCCUUGACCAUUUCUGUAAACACUGGAGGCCAAGAGCAUGGCUGUUUUUUCGAGUCGAAAUUUUCAUUCCUCUCCUUCGUUCGAGUGCCAUUUACAUAUUCGCAUCUUGCACGAACCGUCUGUGACACGGUCGUGACUGCAUUCAAGGCAGUUCUCUAUAGAACUUUGCAGUCGAACGUUUAUCACAAAACAUCAUCUAUAAACCGUUGUUACGUAAGUGUAGUACUUCUUUGCAAAUGUUACAUCACGGCAGAUUGCGUUGCUUUAAGGCCCGCUGUGCUCGGGCACAUUUUUAAACCAGAAAAACAGAAAAUCUUAUUUACGCAAGUACUGUAAUAAAAUUAGCAUUUCAAACACGCACUUAGCAGGACGUUUUAAAUUUUUUCUGCAAAUCGUCCCAGAUUUGCGACGGUUUUUAACGCAAGACGUCUUCAUUAUGGUGUUUGUCCGAGGACUUAAUUCCUACACGAGAUUUAAUUCACGGAAAUGCAGUGUCUAAAUGACCCACUUUUUCGUGUUCGCAAUCUAAUGCUUAAGAAAGAAGUUACAAAUCAUCCGCAUUCGUUUCAGCAUCUACGAUCAGUAAUGCACUCCGUGAUAGAGAAAGUUAACUACACUAUUGAACUGCGUCACGAUAUCUGCCAAUAACCACCAUAAUAUGCCGAUAAAAAUUUAUCGUCGCAAUAGAUGAACACAAUAGUGAUUAUAGGACGACUUACGAUGGGACAGUUUAUAAGCCUGUCAGUGUCAACAUAUUUGCUUGACUUCUUGCACUUUGACGGUGGAAAAUUAUCGGUAAUGGACGACGACUCGUAAUGGCAUAGCUCAGUUGAAAAGCUCUUCAAAUAUCAUGAGAAAAAUGGAAAAGAAGUGGUUCUGUUGCGCAACCGGUAAUUGUUGUUUAAUUAUUGAUUCAUUCCUCUUAUGUAAGACUUAUCCCAUACGAAAUCAUAAAUAUUUAAGCUGUGAUAUUUAAUUAAUUACACACUUUCUUAUAAUUACAUUAAAUUAAUAUACCCGCAUCUAUCACUUAUGCUAGAAACCCAAGACGUUUAUAAUAAUUGGGUACUAUUUAGCAAAUAACGGUGCAGACACUUAUAAACAUUUCAACAAUCUACCUACUGCCAUCAUCCACAUAUUAAUAAAAUAUUAGCAAAAGGUAUAACUUUGAGAAAGUAUUUGAUUUUUUUCUCAUACCAGGCAUAAGUGCACCAAAUUAAAAAAUCACUAUGGAGGAAUUUCAUGUGACAUUGUAUUUGAAUUUUUGAUUUUUGAUCGAGAAAAUUCUAAAUAUUAGUUAAAUUUUUGAAUAUUUAAAGUUACAAAUCUUUUGAGUAAUUCGUAAGAGACUGUAGCUCACCUCUAAAGCUCAUACUUUUUUCUUAUAAAUGUCCACACAAUUUAAUUUUUUUAUAAUUCUCGGUUCUGGUGUAAUAAAUUUUCAAAAAACGGUGUUUUCGCUUUCAAAAAAAUUUAAAUUGUUUUAAAUUCAAGCCAAAUCGACCAAUAAAAGUUUGGCUUAAAAACACCGUUACUACUCGUAUUAAAUGCCACAUCCAAAAAAGCAAAAAUUUUUGGUGUUUUUUUUUAAGAAAAAAAUUCAACAUAAGCUUGUUUCACCCACCACAAAAUAAAACAAGUCUAGCUAUAGUAUAUUUAAUGGUUUUAGUCAUUGUUAAGUUGGGCAUGAUUUGUUGACAGAGUUUAUACAGAAGCCAAAAAUGUCUGGUAUGAAUAAACAAGUUAAGAAAAAAAUUUAACUAAUCAUUAUUAUUAUUACCUCCGUUCAAAAAUAAAUGUCCGAUUUAAAUAUUUUUUCAAGUAAUAAAAUCGGACACUUAUUUAUACUUCAUUCCAAUUUAUAGAAACAUUUUCAAAAAAAUCUCAUCACCUAACUCUAACUUCAUGCCCCCACAUUUUUUUAUUUAAAAGUAACACACGCCCAGUUGGUCCAUUAUAUGUGUUGAAAUUAGAAAGAGCUUGUUUGCAUUAUUUAGGCGAAUCGAUAAAAUUUUUCCUUAGGGAAUUGAAAAAUAAUUUAAAAGUAACAUUAAAAAGCUUUUACCUCUUUUAAUUUAAUUUAAAAGUGAAUGUUUGUCUGUGACACAUUGUAAGAUAAUUUUUAACGUCGUCCAAUCUAAAAUAAAUAUUGCGAAAAAAUUGAAUUGGUCACAUUUUAUUACAUAGUAGGAGUGUAAUAAUUGCUUUAAUUAAUUUGAUGUGUUUUCAAGCGAACACAAGUCAUGUAUAAUAUCAGGCGUUCAUUAAAAAAAAAACUCGCAGCAUGCGUUGAAUUUUUUACGUAUUUCUUAGCUAGUGCCUAUGGUACAAAUUUGGCAUUGUAUUGUUGGUUGCCUAUUAAACCAGAACCUGACAUUUUUUCGUUCCCGCCAGUUUCUACCAAAACGAGCUUGGUUUUUGUGUGAUUUUCUGUGGUUGUUGUUUCUGUUUUCCGAACAUAAACCGAAUAAACCGAAUAAAAAAACAGUAUUUUUCAAUACUAAAUUUCGUGUUUUCUUGAUUUGUAAUCAUGGUGUAUACCAGUGAACAAAAAGCCUUUUUGUUGGAAAGUUAUUUCCGAAAUGGAGAGAAAGUGAACGGUGUUUGGAAAUAUUCAAUUCAACCGUGCCUGGAGGAAUUUCGAGAAGCUUUUCCUGAGGUUAUCGUCUAUGAAGAAUUUAAAAACCCUUUUCACUGAAAUGUGAGCUUGUCUCGUGGAACUGCGUCCACCUCGCGUACAACAGAACAUUUUCAUGAAGCUGUGGAAGAACCUCUUCAUCCAGAAAAAUAGGUGUUUGGGCGGCUAUCAGCAAAAGAAGAAUUGUCGGUCCAAUUUUGUUUCAAGUUUUCAGGAACACUAACUGCAGUACGUUAUCGCGAAGAAAUUCUUACGCCUUUUAUCGAAGAACUUCACGAUGAAGAAUUACGAGAUGGUUUGUUUCAACAAGAUGGUGCAACAGCGCAGUGCACAGCAGAAACUUCAGACUUUCUGAGAACGUUUUUUGAUGACAGAAUAAUUAGCAGGAAUACAGCAAAUGAUUAUCCCCCAAGAUCAUGUGAUUUAACGCCUUGCGACUUUUAUCUUUGGCCACGCAUUAAAAAUCCAAUUUUUGUUACACCAAUUCCAACUAUUGAUGAAUUAAGACGACGCAUUCAACAGAAAAUUAAUGAAAUUAACGAAAAUCCACUUGAACUGACUAAUGGGUUAAACAGUGUUCGAAGGCGUUGUGUUAUGUGUGUUGAGCAACAAGGAAGACAUUUCCAACAGUUUUUAUAGUUAAUAAAUAAAUAUUUUUACGAAAA